AUCAGAUGCCGGGACAUUUGUUUAUCAGCCAGUUGAUAUUUUCAAACCAAGUGAUUACAUUCAGCAAUCAUCGUAAAAUAUUCUUUCGGUUUCUUUCACAAACACCAACUAAAAUAAUGCUAAAAACUGUGCAAUAUGCUGUUUUUAUGCUAAAAAUAAUGCAAAAUUUUUUAUGCCUGUAAGAAACAACAUAGUAUAUUUUUUUCAAACCAAUUGAUUAUUUUUUAUAAAUAUCGUAAAAUAUUCUUUUUGUUUGGUUUGUUUCAUAAAUACCGUGGAGCUUUUUGUUUUGAGAAUUUAAUUUACAAGCAUCAAGAUAUCAUUUUUUUUCAAGCAUUGAAUUAUUUAAGAAAUAUUGCAAAAUAUUCCUUUUUUAAACCACAUGAUUUUUAGUCAAGAAACACCUUGGAUUUUUUUUAAAAAACUGCAUUUGUUCAAGGAAAAGCUAAAAUCAUUGUAUACAUAGAAAUAUUUUUUCAGACCAAUUGAUUUUAAUCAAGAAAGUAGAUAGAAUAUUUUUUUUAUGAAAGAAGAAAAUAGUAUUUUUUGUUCUAAACCAAUUGAUUUUAUGCAAGAAGCAACAUGGAUGUUUCUUUUUUAACAUUGUUUAUAUUCAAGGAACAUCAUAGAAUAUUCUUAUUCAAACAAAUUUAUUUUUUGAACCUAACUGUUUUUAUUUAAGAAACUGCAUUCGACUAGUCAAUUUUGUGUCUAUUCAUACUACACUUGCUAGUCGAUGAAACCCUUAUUUCUUAACAUGUUUAAGAGCUUGCUGAGCAUACUGAUAUACAAAAUAAUGAUCAAAAUGAUCAAAAUUUAGAUCUUCUUCUUUCUGUUCAUUAUAUAGAUCUGAAAAGGUCAAAUAUAAAAAUCUUUUUAUUAAUACUUGAAACUUUUCUAUUAAUUGAAAUGUAUAUCGAAUAGAUUAAUCAAAUUAUAUGUUUUGACUUAUUAUGUUAUACUUAAAAGGUGAUUAAUAAUUAAUUUUAAUUAUUUUGUUAAAUAUCAUAUGAUGUAUUAAAAUAAAACUUGAAACUGCAAUUGUGCAAUUUGUAAUAAACCAGUAAUUUUUUUAUUUCACACAAACAUAAGUGCUUUUAAAGUGAUUCGAAGUAAAAAGUUUAUUUAACUGUAUAGGAUGCGACAUUUCAACAUUUAUUCAGAGAUGGACAACGGACAUGUAAUAGGACAUUUCAAAAACUCAGCUUUUCUCAGUAUGCAAUGAAAUUUUCUGUGGAUAAAUAAUUUUUUUUCAGCUACAGCCAACAUGGAAAUGAGCGAAAAGCUUUAUCAUAUAGAUAUAUGUUCCACGUUUGUGAGUGGAAUGGAAGUUAUAUGGGUGCGGUGUGCCACUACCCCUACCCCUAAUAUUUCGUCCAUGGUUUGGGAGAGAAGGCUGUUUUAAUAGGAGAAAAGAUCUGGUUGCAAUGAUAAUUUGUUUCCCCAAUUAAAAACAAGACUAACCUCUUCCGUCCUUCAUUCAUAAUAUUCAAGAAAACCGGUUUUUUCUGCAAGCCGUUUCAUAAUCUUUAAAUGAUUUAAUCUUUUGAAAUCUCUAUUAUGCCUAGCUUAAAUCUCCCAAAUCAUAAAUUGGGAGACAUUUAUUUAACUUAAAUUUUAUCUCAAGAGAAAAUAUAUGUAUGGUUCAAA